AGCGGAAUAAGCAAUCCAUUAGAAGAGUCAAGUAGAGCAUGAUAUCUACUAGCUUCUAUGAUUUAAAAAGGGUUUUCAUCAACUUUAUCGCUGAGACUCAGCUUAAUAAAUAAACCACAUCAUCGAAUCAUCCCUGCACUACGGGCCAAUGAUAUUCAUGUAAUCAUCAAUGGUCAUGAUUAUACCGAAUAAUCCCUGGUCAUAAUCAUACCAAUCAACAGUCCAUCUAUGCACAUAAACUAAAGAUGACUUUCAUCACAAUAUAAGCAUGAUGAUGAUGACAAUGAUAUAAGCAUUCAAUUAAAUGAAAGCAAAUGAUAAAUUUUAAAGAUUCAUAAUUUAAUUUAUCCAGUAUUCAAUAAUGUCCAAAUUGUUAACAUGAUACUGCUUUGUGGAGUAAAAUUCAUGAAUAAUAU
rnacentral:lncRNA from 1 species